rnacentral:ncRNA from 1 species
UUUAAAGCGAAGAAUGUGUGUAAGUAGAUUUUUGAACUUGUUUUUCCAGAGAGCUUUUGUCACCGGCUGUAAGCAGAAGCAAAAACAUCAGAAAUCGAAUUUCAGCACGGGAGCUUCUGGCGAAAAGCUGUAAAGUUCAGCGUUAAGUCAGAUGUAAGGCUGCAUUAAAGCCAGAUGAGAGCAAAACCGUAUAAGAGAAAGAAUAGAAAUAAUAAAAAAACAGCGGUUUUGAAUUAGGGUGGUAACGCGAGAUACCUCGUCCCUUUU